rnacentral:lncRNA from 1 species
UAAAUCCUUUAAGCUUUUUUCUCCCCCUUAGCAAUACUUUCCAAAUCUGUUUAGUUAAAAGAAAACCUGAAAUAUGCUAUUUUGCAGAUGCUUGGGAGCCUGUUUUCUUCCUUCUGCCGUGGUAGAUCUGUUAACGUCAGUGACUACAGCUACAGGUUGCUUGUGCAGGUACUGAAAGUUUUGGGCCGGAGGUUUUCCUGUGCUCUCCGUAGCUGUUGCCCAGUGCUGCCCUGAGGAAAAGCAGCGUUGGGAAGGCAGGUGCUGCCCUGAGGAGCAGUGCUGGGAAGGCUGCUGCCCCUUUUCCUGCGGGGUGUCAGGGCGAGGCUCCUCACAAGGCCUGCAGUG